ACUUGAGGCUGAGAUGACAGAAUAACAUGGGACAUCUCCCCCUAAAAGCGUAAGAGUGAUGUAUGCGCAGGGCAUUGUUGCUCUGUCUCCAUAUCUGGAAGACCCAUAUUCACAACAUGGAUAUAAACAUUACUACGAUCCAGAGAGCGCCAUUGCAUGGCGGUUGAAGACCAUUCAAAGAAAAGCUGCGGAGGAAAGAAGCGUCUCAGUUUGCAAAUCUCCCAAAAGCUGGGACAGUGACUUGUCUACUAUCUUGCUGCUGCUACAUCUGCUACCACCAUCUGCACAAGGGCGAAAGAGACCAGGAAAGAUGUCUG